rnacentral:lncRNA from 12 species
CCUCCGGGGCGCCCGCCCCCCCCACAUAGAUAUUGGAAGGAGGAUUACGUGAACCCGUAGCCUGUUACGACACACCAAGCACCUUGCACAAAUAGGUAGUGCGCUCUGUUGACCCGUUACACUUGCCAGAAUCGCUGGAAGUGCCAUAUAUGGACAAGGCUGAACCCAGUGGAAGCUGAGUGUCUCUAGACUGGAUUCAGAGCUGCCUUGCUGCCUCUUGAGCUUCAGUCAUUCAG